AGUGAACGCUGGCGGUAGGCCUAACACAUGCAAGUCGAACGGCAGCACAGUAAGAGCUUGCUCUUACGGUUGGCGAGUGGCGGACGGGUGAGGCAUACAUCGGAAUCUACUUUUUCGUGGGGGAUAACGUAGGGCAACUUACGCUACUACCUCAUACUACCUACGGGUGAAAGCAGGGGAUCUUCGGACCUUGCGCGAUUGUAUGAGCCGAUGUCGGAUUAGCUAGUUGGCGUGGUAAAGGCCCACCAAGGCGACGAUCCGUAGCUGGUCUGAGAGGAUGAUCGGCCACACUGGAACUGAGACACGGUCCAGACUCCUAAGGGAGGCAGCAGUGGGGAAUAUUGAAAAAUGGGCGAAAGCCUGACGGAGCAACGCCGCGUGAGUGAAGAAGGUCUUCGGAUCGUAAAACUCUGUUAUUAGGAAAGAAAAGAAGUGGAAGAAACCGUGGAUAUCUUGACGGUACCAAAACAGAAAGCCCCGGCUAACUCCGUG
rnacentral:rRNA from 1 species